GUAGGGAGCAAGCGUUGUCCGGAAUUACUGGGUGUAAAGGGAGUGUAGGCGGGAUGGCAAGUCAGAUGUGAAAUUUAUGGGCUCAACCCAUAACCUGCAUUUGAAACUGCUGUUCUUGAGUGAAGUAGAGGUUGGCGGAAUUCCUAGUGUAGCGGUGAAAUGCGUAGAUAUUAGGAGGAACAUCAGUGGCGAAGGCGGCCAACUGGGCUUUUACUGACGCUGAGGCUCGAAAGCGUGGGGAGCAAUCAGGAUUAGAUACCCUGGUAGUCCACGCUGUAAACGAUGAUUACUAGGUGUGGGGGGGCUGACCCUUUUCCGUGCCGCAGUUAACACAAUAAGUAAUCCACCUGGGGAGU
rnacentral:rRNA from 1 species